AGAGCUCAAAUUUAAAAUCUGGCGGUCCCCGAGGCCGUCCGAGUUGUAAUUUAGAGAAGUGUUACCCACGCUGGACCGUGUACAAGUCUCCUGGAACGGAGCGUCGUAGAGGGUGAGAAUCCCGUAUAUGACACGGACUACCAGGGUUUUGUGGUGCGCUCUCGAAGAGUCGAGUUGUUUGGGAAUGCAGCUCAAAAUGGGUGGUAAAUUCCAUCUAAAGCUAAAUAUAGGCGAGAGACCGAUAGCGAA
rnacentral:rRNA from 1 species